AUUGAACGCUGGCGGCAGGCCUAACACAUGCAAGUCGGACGGUAGCACAGAGGGGCUUGCUCCUCGGGUGACGAGUGGCGGACGGGUGAGUAAUGUCUGGGGAUCUGCCCGAUAGAGGGGGAUAACCACUGGAAACGGUGGCUAAUACCGCAUAACGUCGCAAGACCAAAGAGGGGGACCUUCGGGCCUCCCACUAUCCGAUGAACCCAGAUGGGAUUAGCUAGUAGGCGGGGUAAUGGCCCACCUAGGCGACGAUCCCUAGCUGGUCUGAGAGGAUGACCAGCCACACUGGAACUGAGACACGGUCCAGACUCCUACGGGAGGCAGCAGUGGGGAAUAUUGUACAACGGGCGCAAGCCUGAUGCAGCCAUGCCGCGUGUAUGAAGAAGGCCUUCGGGUUGUAAAGUACUUUCAGCGGGGAGGAAGGCGAUGUGGUUAAUAACCUUGUCGAUUGACGUUACCCGCAGAAGAAGCACCGGCUAACUCCGUGCCAGCAGCCGCCGCGG
rnacentral:rRNA from 1 species